rnacentral:tRNA from 1 species
AGCGGGGUGGUGUAACUGGCUGCAUGCCGGGCUCAUAACCCGGAGGUCUGGUUCGACUCCAGCGACCGCUA